rnacentral:misc_RNA from 1 species
GAUGAAGAACGUAGCGAAAUGUGAUACUUGGUGUGAAUUGCAGAAUCCCGUGAACCAUCGAGUCUUUGAACGCAAGUUGCGCCCGAAGCCAUUAGGCCGAGGGCACGCCUGCCUGGGCGUCACACGUCGUUGCCCCCCCCAUCUACUCCUUCGGGAUUGCGGGGGGCGGAUGAUGGCCUCCCGUGCGCCUCGCCGCGCGGUUGGCAUAAAUGCCAAGUCCUCGGCGACGCACGCCACGACAAUCGGUGGUUGCGAAACCUCGGUUGCCCGUCGUGUGCGGUCGUCGCGCAUCGAGGGCUCGAAAAAAUUGCCGAGUUCCGGCUCGGCUUUCAACGCGACCCCAGGUCAGGCGGGGUUACCCGCUGAAUUUAAGCAUAUCAAUAAGCGGAGGA